GGGGGGCAAUUUGCCACUGGGCGCAGCCUGAUGCAGCCAUGCCGCGUGUGUGAAGAAGGCCUUCGGGUUGUAAAGCACUUUCAGCGAGGAGGAAAGGUUAAGUGUUAAUAGCACUUAGCUGUGACGUUACUCGCAGAAGAAGCACCGGCUAACUUCGUGCCAGCAGCCGCGGUAAUACGAGGGGUGCAAGCGUUAAUCGGAAUUACUGGGCGUAAAGCGUACGCAGGCGGUUUGUUAAGCGAGAUGUGAAAGCCCCGGGCUCAACCUGGGAACUGCAUUUCGAACUGGCAAACUAGAGUCUUGUAGAGGGGGGUAGAAUUUCAGGUGUAGCGGUGAAAUGCGUAGAGAUCUGAAGGAAUACCGGUGGCGAAGGCGGCCCCCUGGACAAAGACUGACGCUCAGGUACGAAAGCGUGGGGAGCAAACAGGAUUAGAUACCCUGGUAGUCCACGCCGUAAACGAUGUCUACUCGGAAUUUGGUGUCUUGAACACUGGGUUCUCAAGCUAACGCAUUAAGUAGACCGCCUGGGGAGUACGGCCGCAAGGUUAAAACUCAAAUGAAUUGACGGGGGCCCGCACAAGCGGUGGAGCAUGUGGUUUAAUUCGAUGCAACGCGAAGAACCUUACCUACUCUUGACAUCCAGAGAAUUUGCUAGAGAUAGCUUAGUGCCUUCGGGAACUCUGAGACAGGUGCUGCAUGGCUGUCGUCAGCUCGUGUUGUGAAAUGUUGGGUUAAGUCCCGCAACGAGCGCAACCCUUAUCCUUACUUGCCAGCGGGUCAUGCCGGGAACUUUAGGGAGACUGCCGGUGAUAACCGGAGGAAGGUGGGGGACGACGUCAAGUCA
rnacentral:rRNA from 1 species